rnacentral:rRNA from 1 species
ACACACGUCAUACAAUGGCCGGUACAGAGGGUAGCCAACCCGCGAGGGGGGAGCCAAUCCCACAAAGCCGGUCGUAGUCCGGAUCGCAGUCUGCAACUCGACUGCGUGAAGUCGGAAUCGCUAGUAAUCGCGGAUCAGCAUGUCGCGGUGAAUACGUUCCCGGGUCUU